UACGGAGGGAGCUAGCGUUGUUCGGAUUUACUGGGCGUAAAGGGCGCGUAGGCGGCGUGACAAGUCACUUGUGAAAUCUCCGGGCUUAACUCGGAGCGGUCAAGUGAUACUGUCGUGCUAGAGUGCGGAAGGGGCUACUGGAAUUCUCGGUGUAGCGGUGAAAUGCGUAGAUAUCGAGAGGAACACCUGCGGCGAAGGCGGGUAGCUGGGCCGACACUGACGCUGAUGCGCGAAAGCCAGGGGAGCGAACGGG
rnacentral:rRNA from 1 species